UACGGGGGGGGGUAAGCGUUGUUCGGAAUUACUGGGCGUAAAGGGCUCGUAGGCGGCCAACUAAGUCAGACGUGAAAUCCCCAGGCUCAACCUGGGAACUGCGUCUGAUACUGGAUGGCUUGAAUCCGGGAGAGGGAUGCAGAAUUCCAGGUGUAGCGGUGAAAUGCGUAGAUAUCUGGAGGAACACCGGUGGCGAAGGCGGGUCUCUGGGCAGUAACUGACGCUGAGGAGCGAAAGCGUGGGGAGCGAACAGGA
rnacentral:rRNA from 1 species